UACGGAGGGUGCAAACGUUGCUCGGAAUCAUUGGGCGUAAAGCGCACGUAGGCGGCCUGAUAAGUCGGCUGUGAAAGCCCUGGGCUCAACCCAGGAAGUGCACUCGAAACUGUCAGGCUUGAAUAUGGAAGAGGGUCGCGGAAUUCCCGGUGUAGAGGUGAAAUUCGUAGAUAUCGGGAGGAACACCAGUGGCGAAGGCGGCGACCUGGGCCAAUAUUGACGCUGAGGUGCGAAAGCGUGGGGAGCAAACAGG
rnacentral:rRNA from 1 species